GCUCCCAUGGCGUAUAGAGGUCACUGCACUCGCCUUGCACGCGGGAGACCCGGGUUUGAUUCCCGGCGGGGUCA
rnacentral:tRNA from 1 species